AUAUACUGAAGAUGAAAAACUAGUCAAUUUCUUUCUGAAUUUUUGUUUAUUAUGUAUUCAUUCUAAAUGCCAAAGUAAAAUACAUUUGCUUUGAAAAAUAAUUUAGCUCUGCAAUUAGCUUUACUUAAAGAAGAGAGAGGGAAAUAACAAAAAAUAUAUUAGUAAAAUGCUUUCCUGUUUUCCUUCAUUAAUAUAUUUAUCAGAACUCCUUUAAUGUUAUUUCGAUCUAAUCUGCCAUUAAUUUAUUAUUAAAGGUAAUCUAAUUUAAUCUUUGAUCUUCUACCUGUUCAAUAAACAAGCUUAAAUUGUAAUGUCAUCAAACAGCUCAGUUUAAUAAAACUCCAAUUCUGCUAUUGUAGCCAUUUUCUUAUUUCCUUUUAGAACUUUCUGAAAAAUUCCAGAUUACAUCAUCUUUUGAAAUUACAUCAUUAAGCUGUAAUAUACCGUUUUAGAUUUGUUCCUGCUUCCUGCUGGAACCUAUCUUGACUAUUUCAGAUAUUUGUAGAAUGACAAUUUUUUUUCAGAAUAUAAUCAAUACCAAGAUGUUUCCUUGAGAAAUUAUUUCUUUUUUUUCAUAUACAGUUAAGACUAAAAUUACUUACCAAAUAUCUGAAAACAUACAUAAUCAUUAAGCUAGCAUCUCAUUAAAAAUAACUUUAGGAUAGCUAAAAUGUAUCUAGCCUCAGUUCUGUUUUGUUCUUCCCCCCACACACACUUCCUUCUGCAUGGCAGCAUAUAUAAUUGAAAUUCUUUCCUAUAUUAUUCCAUCUGUCUUUCAUUUUAGCUGUUGGCUAUUUGUGUCCAAACAGGUGUAUGUUUCUCUCUUACGUCUGUUAUAAGAAACAGCAAACAAUUAAAUCAUAAUCCCUGCCAUUUUCUACUACCUCACCAUUGAUCUCAGUUUUUUUUUUUUUUUUUCAUAUUCUAGUAUUAGUUAAGUGCAUUACCAAAGACACCAACCUCCCUCUUUCAUACAUGCACACAUACUUACACAUCUCACACAUAUACAAAUACACACAAAUAUAUAUAUGUAUAUGUGUAUAAAGACACACACACACACACAUAAACCUAUGCACCAAUGUACACAGACACACACACGUACACACAUAUUCAUUCACACGCAAACACACAUGUACACAGACACACACACAUAGUGAGAAUGAAUAAACAUAGAGUGUAAAUUUAUUGUUAUUGUCUGCUUAAUAAAAAGAAAUUUUAUGUUUCUUCCAAUUAAAAGACUCCCUGCAGAUCUGAAAUUGAUAAACCUCUGAGGGAGCUAGUACUUUUUUAAACUGCAUUAAGUUGUUUUUAUUCUUAUCAUUAUCAUUGUUGUUGUUGUUGUUGUUAUUGCUAUUAUUAAGGUAUUGAGCUGGCAGAACUGUUAGCAUGUCAGAUAAAAUACUUAGCAGUAAUUCUGAGUUCUCAACAUUCUGAGUUCAAAUUCUCCCAAGAUUGAUUUUUGCCUUUCAGUGUCAAUAAAAUAAAUACUAGUCAAGUACUGGAGUUGAUGUAAUCAACUUUCCCCACCCCCUCAAUUGCUGGCCUUGUGCCAAAAAUUGAAAAGAUUAUUAUUUUUAUUACUACUGCUACUCAGUAGUUCUAUUUUUACAUUUACUUUCUCUGUACAGCUUGAGUAUUUGCAGUGUUAUGGUUUUCUGUUUUCUGUUGUGUUAAUUACUCUUUAUAAGAUGUGCGUUCUACCUGGUGGUGUUAUUUUCUGUAUAUUGUGUACGUAAGUUUUGGUAUUUAUCUGUAAGCCUUUUUAACCCUUCCCAGGGCACCUAUUAUUGUACAAGUUGUCCUAUUUUCAGUUCCUACAUUCUGGUUACCUUUGUUUCUAGAUAUUUUGUAUUUGGAUAUUUUCUCCACUUCAUUUAGUGGUAUUUUUUGUCUGCUGGGACUGAAGUUUUGAAUAGGAGGCACUUCUUUUCCUGGUAGUCCUUAACAAAACAAUAUUGGACUGAUGAACCUUAAUCUCCCUAUGUGGAAGGAUUGGCAUAUCACAGAGUAUGGUAGCUUUCUAUAUGUUUAUACUGCCUCUUAAUAAUAAUAAUAAAACUCAGUAACUGCACUCUUCGAAGCUGAGGACACUAAAUAAAUAAAGCAACUCCAAUACUAAGAACCUAUGUCAACCAUGCAAUGCCAAAAUGAAUAGAAACAGCCAUAUCACUUAAAGGCAAGGAGAAGAUAAUUGAAACCACCCCUAUUCCUAUAAGAAGAGAAAACCUCUUAUGAAAUCUUCAAGAGAUUCCUUUUCUCCUGUAAUACUCUGCUUAGUUCUGCUUUCAUUAACAAGUAUGCUAACUGAAACAUCACAUCCAAAGCUGAUACAGACAGCAUAUUCUUACCCUGUAGUUAAGGAAAUGGAUCUAAUACAAAUAGAAAAAAUCUACUUCAGAGUAAAACUGAUGGGACUAGUAAAAUACUUAGAAGCUAUCAAAGCUACCAAAAAGAAAUUGAUUUGUGUAAUAAGGAAACAAAGAAAAUAUAAACUUUUAUAUAUAAGGAAACAAUAAAGUAUUAAUUACCAAACCAUUACUAAAUAAAAAGAUUUAGAUAAGGACAAAACAAUAAAAAAGGUUGUAAGAGCAAAAGACAAACAGAAUUUUAAAAUAUUCUGAAGAAAAUAUAGCCAAAAAACAAUUUAUGGUCAACACCUCACAACACUUGACAGAAGAGAAAUAAGCCAGAGUGGAAGUCAACAAUAGCUCAAAAGUUUUGAGAUAAAAACAGAAAUUACCUACACACAAAUAAUUAAGUUAACAUAAUAAUGAAGAAAGAUGUUAACAUCAAGUCAAGACUAUGCAAUCAGUACAAGCUAAUUGACCACAUCAUCUGUGGUGACCAGUUCUUGCCAAAUCAGAGUAUGUUCAUUGAUACAAUCAAGUCAGCAGCUUUGUAUACUGUGUAAUAUGCAAACAAUUUGAUAUGAAAAUGGAUUAAACAUGUUACGUAACAAUUUGAUCACAAAACUGUCCAAACACAAUUAUCUAGGACUGGAGCAAAAAUGCCUGUACUCUGAUAGACAUUUUAGUCCCUUCUGACCAAAACAUUGUCUGAAAGGAGGGUGAGAAAAUGUCACAAUACAAGGGGCUUGAAAGUAGGACAAGUGAAAACAAUAAUAAUAGUUGGAGACUAGACAUGAUAAACAAAAAAUGUGAACAGAAACAUACAAAUGAUACCAGGACUCAUUGCUUUACACACUGUCUAAAGAUAGUCCUACUGGACACAGCUCAUAAAUUAUGCAAGAAACUGUCAUUUCAAUAACACAACUCAAGCAGGACACAAAAUGUACUCUAUGCAAUCAUUACUGAAUAUAACAAUAUGGCUCACACAUCACAAGAUCUACACAAUCACCACCCAAUAGAAUAAUGUAAAAUACACUCUUACAUAAUCAAGAGUCAACACUAUAAUACCAACAAAAUAAUACAAAUCAUAUUGUACAUACUCUACACAACAGACAAAACACUAAGACAACACCAGAAACAACUGUAUUAAUCCCACAACGAAGAAAGCCUAAUGUAUUAUAUAAACACUAUUCUAUAUAUCCAGAAGACAAUGCUACACCCACCUCAGGAACAUAGCAGUAUACCUGAGAGUGCAGCAGAAAUUCACAUAAAAAUGUUGAGAUAAUAAUAAUAAUAAUAAUAAUAAUAAUAAUAAUAACAACAACAAUAUUGUUUUUAAAUUUUUAAUUAGAUAUCUAUGAGAAAUGAGAAGUGGUGGUAUCAUGCCUUUCAUAAAGACUAGUGUAGAGGGUACAACUCCAACUGGAAAUUCAAACAGAUUGAUAGGUUCCACUCAGAAUUUAUCAAUACACUAUUAUAGUAUCUACUCCUCUAACAACAACAACAAUACAGAAAACAAACAAAAAAAACCCUGAUUAUACAUGUAACACAAAACUAGCUUCCCAUUUCCCAAAAUGAUAAUGCUGCAAACAUUUUACUAACACAGAAUUGCAGCUGAUAUUGCAGUAAAAAUUUACAUGAAAUUACUGAAAAUACAUAAUAGUAAUUUCUUUGGAAUGGGAGAAACAAAUAAUAAAAAUAAUAAUAAUAAUAAUAAUAAUAAUAAUAAUAAUAAAAUAGUGUAUCUACUUAACAAUCAUAGAUAUAUACAUUAGUAAAACUUAUUUGAAAUACUCAACCACUCUGAAUUUUUAAAAAAUAAUAAAUUUUAUAUUCUAAUUUACCAAUUCCAAAAUAAAGUAAAAUAGAACCAUAGAUGAUAUGUUUCUUUCUAUCAUAUCAAUAUUGUUAGAAGCUUUCAAAAUUAUCGAGUUAUCUGGCUAAAAUAUUGGUAAACUUACUAAUUAUAUUUUAUAUCAUUCAUAAAUAUUAUUCUUUUUAUAGGCUAGCUUAAACCUCAUUGCUUUGAUAUGAUCUCAGAGACUGAUUAUUUUUAACUGAUGAAAUGUAGUCUAGAAAAUAUUUUAUAGUAAAUAAACUACAAGUUUGUUGUUUCAUCAUCAUUGUUGUUGUUGUUGGUAUUGACAUAAGGUUGGGAGGGUGCACCAAACAUUUGAAUUAAUUUCUUAGGUGUGGCUGUGAAAAAUUGGAUGUUCCUUUUUCUUUUCUCUAUUCUGACAUCACAGAUAAAUGAUAGAUAACGAAAGAGUUAACCGGCUUCCUCUGCUAGAUUCAUUUAUAUUAUAAAUUUAUUUCCAUCAACUUAAGUUAUAUUCAGAAAUAAAAAUGGCUGGCCAUUUAUUCUGAUCAUGAGUACAAGAUUUUAAACAAUUUAAUCCUUUCUAUAUUAAUCCUUGUAUCAACCCACCCGAGACUACUUGUUUCUAUGAUACAAAAACCACCUUUUUAAAAUGAUUAUAUUUAUAUUAAACCUUCCAUUAUAAUUUUGUGUAGGAACCUGUUUGCUAAGUUGUCUCCAAGCAUCAGAUUAAUAAUGACUGUUUCUUAAUUUAUUAAUUCCCUCCACAUUCUUGGAUUAUUUUCAAAACUGAUUGAAACAUACAUUGCAUUAUUAGAAAUAUUAUAACAAAAGUGUUCAGUUUCACAUUAGCUAUGAAACCAAAGGUGCUAGAUUCCAUACCCAAAUAAAAGAAAAAAGAAAAUGUCCUUCAGAAUUGUUCUUGUUAUUGUUUAGCCCUGGGUUAGUCCUGAAUGAGCAGAUCUAUGAUCAAAGCUAUCUUAUCUAUAAUCAUAUAAUCCUUUUUAGGAGUUUGUAGGACUUCAUAAUCAAAUACGUAGUGAGAUUUAAUGGAGAUUUGGUUAUUAUUUCUCACAGGUUAACCAAAUACAUAGGCUCAUUCUUUAUUUAGACUGUUAUAAAGUUGGUAAAAACUAAGAGUCAAUGUGAAAUCAAAGAGUUAGAAAAAUAUAAUAUAGCUAAAGUUUAGAAAAUACAUUAAUUGAUAAAAAGACAUUCAAUAGUUGAAGUGCACACACAGACAAUAACAGCCAAUAUCAAAACAUUAGAAAAUAGCUAAGAAAUUAUCGGCUACUUGAUUGUUUUUUCCUUUUCAAAUGGUUUUUAAUCAUUUUUAACGAUUCUAUUGAUUUUCUUUUGUUUUUUUCUUCAAGUCUAGUCUCUUUUCUUCAUUGAAGAAUGAAACAGUAGCGAGGUAGAUUAUCCUAUAAUCACUGAUUUCUUGUGAAGUCUUUUAUUUCCUUCUCAUUUGCUUCUUUUUUUUUUUUUGAAGUGGGGUGGCAGGUGGGUGGUGGGGUAAAAUCCUCAAAUGGAAAAUAUAGGAGAUUAUCUUAUUGUAAACUAUGAGAAAAGCUUGGAAAUGUGAUAAAUGUUAGACUUAUUUUUGCUAUAUUUUCUUUUGCUACUUUGUGAUUUUUUUUGCAUUUUUUAAUAUUUUUUCACUGCAUGUUUCAAAAAUAUUUAUAAUUUAAGUGUAUGCUGUCUGUUUUGAAAUAAAUAAAAAGAAAUGUUAUAAUUUUGCUUUUUAACGUCCCUGAAUCAAUCCUGUAUGAUUAUUUGAUGCCUUAGCUUACAGAUGAUGCUGUGUUUCUAAUUUUUAUCUUCGCAAGCAUUAAUAUAUAUAUAUUAACAAAUUGUUCAAAUGUAAAUUUCUGUGUAAAAGCACAUGUUUAUAAAAAAAUAUUGACUGCGCAA
rnacentral:lncRNA from 1 species